AAGUUAAGCCAUGCACGUCUAAGUACUAACAAGCUAAAGUGAAACCGCGAAUGGCUCAUUACAACAUACACAAUCUAUUGAAUGUUAAAUUAGUUGGAUAACUGAGGUAAUUCUUGAGCUAAUACAUAUUGCAAAUUCUCAACUCACGAAGAGAAGCAUUCGUUAGCUAAAGAUCAAACUCACUUGUGAGUUUAUUAGUGACUCAGAACGAAAUAUCUGAUUAUAUUGGCUUGUCCAGAUAACAAGUUCAAUGAGAGUAUGACCUAUCAACUGUCGACUGUGGUGUAUUUGAUCACAGUGGUGUUAACGGGUAACGGGAGAANUCUGGGUUCGAUUCCGGAGAGGGAGCCUUAGAAACGGCUACCACAUCCAAGGAAGGCAGCAGGCACGCAAAUUACCCCUUUACCGAAGGUAGAGGUAGUGACGAAAAAUAACAAUGCAACACUCUUCCGAGGCGUUGCAAUUGGAAUGAGGUUACUCUAAACCUGUAUUCAAGGAACAAUUGGAGGGCAAGUCUGGUGCCAGCAGCCGCGGUAAUUCCAGCUCCAAUAGUGUAUAUUAAUGUUGUUGUGGUUAAAAAGCUCGUAGUUGGAUAUCAUCAGUAAGUUUUCUGUUCAACUUGUGUUGUAAUAGGAAGUCUGACUGUCUGUCUGUUCAUUCUUAUCGGUGACUUUAAUCAGUUGUCGUUCUAAAGGAAGAACAAUUUUACUUUGAAAAAAUUAGGGUGCUCAAAGCAAGUUUAUCGCUUGAAUAGUUGUGCAUGGAAUAAUAGAAAAGGAAUUUCAUCUUUUUGGGUGGUCUUAAAGAUAAAGUUAAUGAUAAUGGGGNACAGCCNGGGGCGUAUGUGAUUUCAGCCGACAAGAGUGGAAAUUCUUGGGACC
rnacentral:rRNA from 1 species